AGGACGAACGCUGGCGGCGUGCCUAACACAUGCAAGUGGAGCGACGAACCAGGCUUCGGCCUGGGGCAGAGCCGCGAACGGGUGAGUAACACGUGACUAACCUACCCUUGAGUGGGGGAUAACCUAGGGAAACCUGGGCUAAUACCGCAUAAUACCUUCGGGUCAAAGGAGCAAUUCGCUUAAGGAGGGGGUCGCGGCCGAUUAGUUAGUUGGCGGGGUAAUGGCCCACCAAGACUGUGAUCGGUAUCC
rnacentral:rRNA from 1 species